rnacentral:lncRNA from 1 species
AGCCUUUUCAAAAUACUAAAAAAGUAUCUUUAAAAGAAAAUAAAGAAAAGAAAUUAACUCUGAAAGCGAUCCCGUGAACUUUGAUGUGACGUACAUUUUAUCAAUCUAUAUGGCUAUAUGAUAGUUCAACAAUUGUUGGUGAUAGGGCUCAAUGCGAGAUGGACGUUCCUACCGCCUUUAUUCUAUAUUCACACCCUGCCUGUAUCCUAUAUCCAC